GAACUCCUACCUGCCCUUUGCCCUUCUCGAGGCCGGUGCUUGACUGGAGGAGGGCUGGCAGCAGAAGUGCAGCUGACCGGGUUGCGUUUUCGUACGGCUGACUAAAGCGGAUACCGGUGGCGACUCAUUUCUCGUUUUAUUUUUCAACGAUUUGGCGGAGAAGCUCCUCUUGUGAAUGGACUUUGGAUUUCUUGGAGCUGCGCUGCGGGUCCCACAGUGUGGCUUUCGGCCCGUGCUGUGCUGGCGCCUGCACUUCCUCUGGCGGGGCACGGGGUGGCGCUCCCUGGUAAAGCAGCGGCCAGGGGGAGCCGUGAGUGAGGCGCUGCCUCUCCCGCUGAAGCGGGUUCCAAGGCCACCGUGAGGGGGACCAUCCAUCCAGGUAAAACGUGUUCUUUCCUUGUUCCUUUGCGAAUCGAUGGGGAUCAGGCUUCCCCAGGUGGUGAAGUGAGGAACAGGGACCGCGGGGCUCGCCUGACCAGUGGGGUCUCCAUCCUUGUCCGUGCUGACAAAAGACAAGAACAGACAGCGCCUGAAAUCUUCCCGCCUCCGUGAGGGAAGCCUGCGUCUGGGAACGCGCCGCAGGGAAGUGAUCCCUGAGUGAGGGAGGAGGUGCCGGGGCAUCAUUAAUCAGACCUCAAUGCCGGGAAGGUUCUUUGUUUAAAGAAACACUCAUGUUUAAAGAGCACUUGGUGCGGACUUGCUGUGGCCAUCGCCCUCAACAGCUCAUCUUUAGGAGGUGCAGGCUGAAUUCACGCCUCGGUGUCGUCCAUGUCUGCCUGCCGCGCAGAGGAGACAGCGAGAGGCCUUCCCACCGCACGGCUUUUACGGGAAGCUCUUCGCAUUGGCUACAGGGGUGUGGUUUGGUUUAUAGCCACACCAAGUAAUUUUAAUAGAACUCAAUAACUGUGUUGCCUUGCAGGCUCCGAGUGCUACAGGCAGACCCGAGUCCGAGUCUUCCUACGGUUCAUUGUCCCCCCCUGGAUUUCCUAGGGACUCCAGAUACGAUGGCAUCGAUGUCAGUUAACUUGGCACUUCUUAAAAUAGAUCUAUGAUCAAAUCUUAAGUUUUUCCGAAUAAGACUCUGGAGGAAUGCAGGAAGGUCAUUUGAUUACUUUAAAAUAAGAGGAUUUUAUGUUAAAAUAUUGAAAAAGCCAGUCAUAAAACUAAGCUCUGUACCAAUGAAUAUAGUUCGCGAAGCCAGCAGCACAGGCUUAUUAUUAUAAAUAUCAAACACCACCAUUA
rnacentral:lncRNA from 10 species